rnacentral:lncRNA from 1 species
AGUGUUUCCUUCAAGCAGCAUCGUGGACAGAUUCCUGCCAGACCCUUCAGAGCAAGCACCCCACACCCCUAGCCCAGGGUCUCUUCAUCGAUAGGGGGUGAUCUGUCUGCCCCUCACUGUUUUCUCCAAAUAGAGAUAAGAUCUCACUAUAUUGCCCUGGCUGGUCUCAAACUCCCGUGUUCAAGUCAUCUGCCUGCCUCGACCUCCUAAAGGGCAAGCGGGAUUACAGCCUUCUCCACAGCCCAGCCACAGUGAGGGAGUCAUCAGCACUGGAACCCGGGGUCCACGGCCUUGGAGGAUCCGGACCCUCCGCAUUUGAGGAACUUGGCCUUCAGUCAGGGAGCCAAGAAGUCCCUGCCAAUCAAGGAGGGGGUGUGGGCUGGUGGGGGGGGGGCAGCCUUGGGGCACGGGAGCUGAUAGACCAGACUCAAGAGUUCUACUCCUGACUUCUAGAUUGUUCCACCUCCAUAUGGAAUAUGUUCCUUCCAUCUAACACUGUGUGAUUUGGGGACCAUCCAACUCAAAUGAAAGAAGCCAAGCCAUGCAGCGAGCCACCCCCUCCCCAAUGUGGGGUACCCCCUGCCCCCGCCCAGCUCCCCUGCCCUCCCAGCUGAGGGGGGAUCGCCGCCUGGUGAUCUCAGCCUCCCCUCCAAGUGGGCUGUGAAGUGUCUAAUCCAGGCUUUCAUCUGGCAUCCACAAUUAUAAUGUCAAGAUUGAAUAAUCUGCCUUUAUCUCCCGGGUGACAGCCAUGUAGAAACUUCAAAAGAAACAGUUUUGCUGGCAUCUAACGGCUUUUGUUAAUUACUAUAUCCCAAAGAAAAUGAAAUAAAGGAGGGAGAAAAAUGAUA